AGAAGACGGACGAAUCAGAACACUUCCUGUGGGAAGCUGACAUCAAGGUUCCUUGUGGUCGCUUGAUACCAUCAGAGCAUAAAGAUAGCCCCCUGGAAUACAAUGAGUAUGCUGUCUACGAUCCCAAACAGGUACUGAUGAAACUCUACCGUUAAUACUUUCUUUUCAUUUAGCAUCCAAGAUUCAUCUGUAUUGGAAUUGCAGACAAGAAUAAGGUUCCCGGUGGGAAUCAAGUAUGAGGAGAAGGAUGUGGUGAUGAACACUGUAGAGUCAUAAGUAGAAGAAAUGAGCUAAGAAGGCUUUUUGUGCGACCGGGAAGAUCUUUGUUUAUUGCUUCUGCUGUUCUCCUGCAUGGCGGGUAUAGAGAUACCGGGUACUUGACGGGAUUUUAAUCAAAGCUCUCCAAGAAGUUGAUGGAUUUUGUU
rnacentral:misc_RNA from 1 species